rnacentral:misc_RNA from 1 species
CCCUCUCGUUGGGUUCUUCUUCCCUCUGGGUUUAGUCUUGCUGCCCAUUGAUCCUCUUGGUUCAAAUUUGUUCCACCAUGUGUUGCUUGGACCCUUUUGGCUGUUCCUUUGUGCUUUUGCUGGGAAACUUUUGAUUAAAUGGCUUCCCUUUGAGCUUCACCGUGUUGUCUUCAUCUCCUCUAAAAUGGCCAUGGAUGGGUCUUCUCUGCUAGAUGGUGGUAAUGUCAUGGUUUCCAGGGCAUUCUCGUGCGGGUCAAACUAGAAAUUGGGUUGGGUGUCUCUGGGCGUCGGGCCUUUAGUUAUCUGGGUUGGAACGACCUCUAGGGCCGUUUUUUUUUAAUUAAGGCACGGUGUUAUAUGUUUGAGAUUCUAAUUGGAUCCUCUGUCUAAGGCAUUUUUUCUGCAAUUAAUAUUUUAUCUUUU